rnacentral:misc_RNA from 1 species
UUCUAUCAAACAACGAGUAUAGUAAAGGCAAACAAAAUGGAAAAAAGCAUUACAUUUUUGGAUUUGUAUUAAUAGAGAAAUGACAGUGUUUUGUGUUUUCCGAUAAAAUAAACAAACCAUAUGAAUAAUUUGUCUUUCAUAUUAAUUGACGAUGAUACAACCUUUGGUUUAUCUCGAAUAUGAAUCGGACGGACGAAAAAUGUCAAAUAUAAUGCAGGAAAUCACAUAUCUGGUUGGAAUAAGGAAGUUUAUGGUUUUGAUGGAUAUUAAGAGGAAGGUAUUCUUCCAGAAAUAGUACUAUGGUCACCAUGAAUUCUGAAAAGGCUGCCACAAAGCGCAAGCCAGAAUCUAAUAAUGAAAGCUGUACAAAGCUAAAUAAUGAUUCACUUAUUCAGUCCACAACAACUUCUGAUGAAUCCCCAAAUAAUAUUUUAUAUAAAAAGAUGGAGAAAAUUGUGGAAAAUAUGCAAGAUGAAACAAAUGGUGUUCCAGUACGUACCGUAAAGAGUUUCAUGUCCAAAAUUCCUUCAGUUUUUACUGGUUCCGAUCUAAUAAUGUGGAUGAUGAAAAAUUUGGAUAUGGAAGAUCAACAAGAAGCUUUACAUUUGGCUAAUCUGAUGUCAUCCCAUGGUUAUUUUUUCCCUAUUGAUGAUCAUAUGCUCACUAUAAAAAAUGAUAACACAUUUUAUAGAUUUCAAACACCUUAUUUUUGGCCUUCAAAUUGUUGGGAACCUGAAAAUACUGAUUAUGCUGUAUAUUUGUGUAAAAGGACAAUGCAAAAUAAAACCAGGUUGGAGUUAGCUGAUUAUGAAGCUGAAAAUUUAGCUCGAUUACAAAAGAUGUUUUCAAGGAAAUGGGAAUUCAUUUUUAUGCAAGCUGAAGCACAAAGUAAAGUCGACAAAAAGAGAGAUAAACUAGAACGGAAAGUUUUGGAUAGCCAGGAGAGAGCCUUUUGGGAUGUUCAUAGACCAAUGCCUGGAUGUGUAAAUACAACAGAAAUUGAUAUUAAAAAAGCAUGUCAAAUGCACAAACCUACUCAUGCUGCAAAAACUGUUACAAUAUCUUCAAAAUUGUUACCAUCUACCUCGGGUUUGCCAUCAAAAAAUAGCAAAGAACAGCUGAAAAAGCAACUCAAUUGGUUAAAAAGUAGACUCGAUAGAAGAAAUAUUAAAAUAUCGAAAGCAGCAGAAUCGUUUAUUGCAUUCUAUGAGCAAUAUUUAGAAUAUGACAGUUUCUUCGUAGCUCCAGAGUAUCCAAACCCAUGGAUAUCGGAUAACCCAGACUUGUGGGAACAAGAUAAAAUGGCUAAAGACAUAUCAGCCCGUAGAGUUAAACGUUGGGCAUUUAGUUUACAAGAACUCUUAUACGACCCUAUUGGAAGAGAGCACUUUAUAAGAUUUCUUGAUAAAGAGUUCAGUGGAGAAAAUUUAAGGUUUUGGGAGGCAGUUCAAGAAUUAAAAACAUUACCACAGGGCCAAGUACAAGAAAAGGCAAUAGAAAUUUGGAACGACUUCCUAGCACCUGAAGCCAGUUGUCCAAUAAACGUCGAUUCACAUUCAAAUGAAAUGACUAAGAAAAAUAUGGAAAUUCCAGAUAGAUGGGGAUUUGAUUGUGCAGCAAAUCACGUCUAUCAUCUUAUGAAGAGCGACAGCUAUUCAAGGUAUUUGCGCUCUGAAAUGUACAAAGAAUUUUUAAAUGGAUCGAAGAAAAAGGCUUCUGUUAAAGGUAUACGAUCAAUCGUUUCAUUCUCAGCACGCAAAGACAAUGUAAUUUAGUUGCAACAUGUAGGAAGGAGGAAGAUUUAUGUCGUAUUUGUGGCAGAUUUAAUAUAUUUCGACAAUACUUGAGAGCCACUCGCAAAAUUUGGUUGAAUUCAAAGAACUUAGUUGAUGUUUUCGUAAUCUACUUGCGAUACCUAGUGUUUGUGUAUAGAUAACGAAUAAAAAUCAUUAUAUACGUAUAUAUUAUACAGGUAUCUAUGAUAUGAUUACGCAGGUACACUGCGCGUCAGAGAAAACGCGCGACCCACAAAUGAUAUGAUUACGCAGGUACACUGCGCGUCAGAGAAAACGCGCGACCCACAACAUUGGUCAUUUUUGAUGUCUCGAAUUUCCUAAACCUGUUGUCCGAUUUAAGUGAUUUUUUAAUAUGUUAUGGCCUUAUUCUUUAACAAUAUCGCCGUAAUAAUAUUGUUGCUAAACAGGUAAAUUUUCAUUGUAUACCGAGUGGACCAAUCAAACUGUGUUUUUUCUCAAAGUAGCAACACUUUGUGGAAUAUUCUAGCAUUUAUAAAAUACUAAAAUUAAACCCAACUACAGCCUCAGGUUUUCUUAACAUUCUGUUGUUUGAUUCAUUUGCUUAUGUUGGAUAAUAAAAAAGUUAGGUACUUUAACAACUAGCCAUGUUCUUUAUCAGUACAGGGUGUUUCUAAAAAAGUGCGACAAACUUUAAGGGGUAAUUCUGCAUGAAAAAGUAAUGCCCGUUUGCUUUAUAAACAUAUCUCCGCAAUAGCUUCGUUUCCGAGAUUCAACUUGGACCGGUUCAGUCAAACUGGUAGCUGGUUCGGAAGCAAUUAAGUCAACGCAAGGUAGUAAAGCUCGCGCAACUGAAUCAAAACAUAACCAGAGUUUGGCAACUCUGCAAAAGGUCAUUUUAGCCUUACAUAGUCAAGAUAAGCAUAUUCCAUAUAGGAAUUCUAAACUUACAUAUUUAUUACAAUCCUCAUUGGGAGGCAACUCAAAAACUUAGAUGAUUGUUAAUCUGUCUCCUUUCGAGGAGACAUACAAUGAAAAUAUAAAUGCAUUAAGAUUUGCUAGUACAGUAAAACCUCGAUAGAACGGACCUCUAUUUAACGGACUUCGGAUACAACGGACAAAAAAUAAAGAUCAAAUGUAAAACAAAAAUUGAAAGCAAAAAAAUAUGAAAAAUCGAAUUCUAGAAGGAAAAACAACAAGGAGAGGAUCUCGGCACUGCUUUGUGCUAUCGCCGAUGGAUCGCAUGGAUUGACUACUAUAAUUGUUGGUAAAUCUCGUAUACCUAGUGUUGUCAAAUACAUCAAAAGGCAUCAUCUGCCCGUUUCAUAUUAUAGCUCUAAUAGGGCAUGGUUCACCAGAGAUAUUUUCAAAAAUUGGUUUUUAAAAGAUUUGUACCUGCAGUGAGAAAAUUUCAAGAGAAGAAACUGGUAAUACCGCCUAAAGAGGUGAAAUGUUUAUUGAUUUUAGUCAAAGCUCCUGCUAAUCCCCCUGAAAGUAUUCUAAAUUCAGAAGAUGGCAACUUUAAUUGUAUGUUUUGCCAAAAAAUACAUCGCUUAUUUAACCCAUGAAAGUGAAUAAUUUUGUCAACCAAAUGAGUAUAUUGCAGAAAGUUUUUAGAUGAAGUAGAAAAGUAAAAAAGUAGUGAACAAAACUUUAUUCCUUUUUAACUUUUUUUAAGAAUUGUACACUGUAUCCACACUGUAUUUAUAUAAAGUACCCUAAUAAUUAAAGAAAAAAUUUGAUUGAUUUUACACCUAUUUUUAUACAACGGACUUUCGGCUUUAACGGACAUCCCGUCCCCCCAAUCAGUCCGUUAUAUCGAGGUUUUACUGUACUGUACUGUCAAAGAGGUAAAGACAAAGAUAGUUUACGAACAAUAAAUACCUAUGUAAGUUUAGUAAGUUAAGAAAAUAUAGAUAAGCAAAAUUAUUGGCUAAAACUCGUAAAGUGAAUGUAAAUAUAAAAGGAAAUAUAUAAAAUGAUGAAGGAUCAUGAAAGCCAUCAAGAAGUCAUCAUCAUAUAUUUCCUUUUAGAUUCACAUUCACUUUACGAGUUUUAGCCAAUAAUUUUGCUUAGGUAUGUGUAUAUUUAUAUUUGUACUCGAUUAUUCAACAUCAUUUUAUAUAUUAUACACUAACUGGCACGAAAAAAGGUCACCCCACAAAAUAGGUCAUUUUUGAUGCCUCGAAUUUCCUAAACCUGUUAUCCGAUUUAAGUGAUUUUUGAAAUUAUACUUCUUUAGGAGCUUUGGGAGUAAAUUUAUAUAUGCGCGAAUUCAUCAAAAGUCUUGGUCCUGAGCGCAGCUCAAACGUUAUACGGGCUCUGAGUGGGUAAUUACUAUAAACUGUCAAUAAUUGUUCAAUAUGUCGCUUAUGAGUAAACAAAUGUUGUGUAUAUGUAUUAGUUUUUAUUGUUGUGAGGGCAGAGAAAAAAGCAAGUUUAUAAUUGAAUGGUGGGCUACAACAAUGUUGUAAGCGACAGAAUUGAGAUUAUGCAGGAGAUGAAAAAAACAUAUUGACAAGCUAUUUAUGAACAUACGGAUACCAACAUUGCGGUACGAAAAACUCGGGGAAGGCAAAAUGUUUUUAGCCAGAUUGAAAGAUGGAUAUACAAUAAUAUUGUAUUAAAACCUCACUUUGACCCAAUAUGUCGCUUACAACAUUGUUGUAGCCCACCAUUCAAUUAUUGUAGUGGUUUUUUAAAUAGUUUUUAAAAGCAACAGGUACGUACCAUAUUGUAAAUGUCUCAGUAUUGUAAUAAAAAAUUACAUACCUAUUUGGAAAAUGUACCUAGCUAGUAGGUAAUGCUUUGAUUUACAUAAUUUGAUUAACAACAAAAUUUCUACCAAUUUUCAUCUAAUAUAUUGCUUUUUUAGUCUAUAUUUUGUUGUAUUGUAAUAUUUUAAUUCCACAAGAAUCAAACUUAUUUGAUUAAACUAAGAGAAUAAGCAACUGCCAAAAAAGUUUAAAACGUUUAGUUGCUAAUAUCUUCCCACAGCAUUCACAUGUCUCGGUAGUUAAAUUGUGCGUGCGGUGAGUACAAAAUAUAUAACAACCUGAUAGACGCAGGUUCAAUCCCCAAUGCAAAUUUUUAUUUUUUUUUAUACAUUUUAUGACUAAGUAUGUUUAUUAUAUUUUUUUUUCAGAAAAUACGUAUUUAGUUAAAAUUUUUCUCAACAAUUAUUGUUCAGAAAUCAUUUCUUUGUUUCAUUUUUCAAUGCGUUUGCGUGUGUUUUAUUCUUUUAUUUUUUUAGUUUUGGGUAUUGUUUUAAUAAAAAUUUUUGGAGAGUAGUAAGUAUUAAAAUUAGUUUAAUAUUCAAAUAAAAUAUAAAUAAACUGUUUAAAGUAUAUAGAUUUCGUUGAAAUCGUAUAAUCGAAGUAUAACUUCUUACGUACGUACAAAGUAUACACACAUUCUGUUUUUAAUAUGUUAUAGCCUUAUUCGUUAGCAAUAUCGCUGUAAUAAUAUUGUUGCUAGACAGGUAAAUUGUCAUUUCAUACUGGGUGUACCAAUCAAACUAUGUUUUUUCUCAAAUUUCACCACACACUGUGGAAUAUUCUAGCAUUUACAAAUUACUGAAAUUAAGACCCAACUAUAGGCUCAGGUUUUCUUAACAUUCUGUUUUUGAUUCAUUCGCUUAUGUUGGACUUGGACUAUAAAAAAGUUAGGUACUUUAACAACUAGCCAUGUUCUUCAUCAGUACAGGGUGUUUCUAAAUAAACGCGACAAACUUUAAGCGGUAAUUCUGCAUAAAAAAUAGUGGCCGUUUACUUUAUAAACAUAUGGGACGUUGAAUUUUUUCUUACAGACUGACGAUUUAUUUAUUGCUCUAAAGCCGGUUGAGAUACGUAAAUGAAAUUUGGUAGGUUUUAAGAGAUAGUUAUUGCGCAUUUUUGGCAUGCAAUUAAGAAUUUUAUAUUCUCCAUUGGCGCGCAUACGGGUUAUUACCCAUAUACACGCCAAAUUUGAAUAUAAAAUUCUUAAUUGUAUGUCAAAAAUGCUCAAUAACUACCUCUUAGAACCUUCCAAAUUCCAUUUGCAUAUUUCAACCGGUUUUUUGAGCAAUAAAUAAAUCGUCAGUUUAUAAGAAAAAAUUCAACAUCCCGUAUCUCGGAAACGAAGCUUUUGCGGAGAUAUGUUUAUAAAGCAAACGGGCAUUACCUUUUCAUGCAGAAUUACCCCUUAAAGUUUGUCGCACUUAUUUAGAAACAUCCUGUAUGUACUGAUAAAGAACAUGGCUAGUUGUUAAAGUACCUAACUUUUCUAUUAUCCAACAUAAGCGAAUGAAUAAAAAACAGAAUGUUAAGAAAACCUGAGGUUAUAGUCGGGUUUAAUUUCAGUAUUUUAUAAAUACUAUAAUAUUCCACAAACUGUUGCGACUUUGAGAAAAAAACACAGUUUGAUUGGUCCACUCGGUAUACAAUGAAAAUUUACCUGUUCAGCAAUAAUAUUAUUACGGCGAUAUUGUUAAAGAAUAAGGCUAUAACAUAUUAAAUAAUCACUUAAAUCGGACAACAGGUUUAGGAAAUUCGAGACAUCAAAAAUGAACAAUGUUGUGGCCCGCCCGUUUUCUCUGACGCGCAGUGUGUAUAUGUAUAUAUACUUAUAUAUACAUAUGUGUGUAUGUGCAUGUAUGCGGUAAGGAUGUGUGCGCGAAUGUGUGUAUGUAUGUGACGCACUAGCAAAUUUAAACGAACGAAAUUACAUUUUAUGAAAUAUAUUUAUUAGUUUUGGCUGGAUUAAAAAUAUCUUGCAUAUUUGGUUGAUUUCUCAUGAUCCAUUAGUUUAUAUCGAAUUCUAUGUUACCAGACCGACAAGCCUGAGACCCAGGAAACAGAGUAUACUUUUCCGAACGUUCUUGGUUCGCUGAAUACGAAUUUGAGUUCAAAAUUACCUUGGUUUCUGAGAUAUCCUAACCUAAAAGUGUAAAAGUUGCAGUUUUUGCAUAUUUUUGACCUUAUGUAGACCUGUUAAGUUUUUCUAUCCUAAAAUGAUACGCACAACACCUUAAAGUAAGUCUUUCUCUUUCAAAUGCCGUUUAAUUUGCUACUCUUUUUAGUUGAGAUAUUGCAUUUUGAAGUUUUCAUUUUUGUGAAAUUUCUUUUACCUGAAAAUCCAGUGAGAUAACAGGCGUGAUACAAUCUAUGUGUUUUGAUAAAUACGAAAAUAUACAGGGUGUUUGGUAAAGAAUGGGCCAUAGUUUAACCUUAGAUUCCUGAGGUUAAAAUAGGUCGAUUUAAGCUAACUUACCUUAGUACAAAAGUUGGUAAUAACCGAAAUACAGGGUGUCAAAGUUAAACUUUUAUUUUAUUUAUUUUUGAAUAUUUCCUGACAGACAUUUGAGAACUACAUGAAAUUUGGUAAGUGGCGCUGGUACUGUAUACCCUACUCAAUUAUGUUAAACAAACGUUUCUGGCUACUACCAGAGACGUACGACGGGGGAACGUGAAUGGUUGACCCUUUCCAAAUUCUACGCCACUGGCGGAAUUGCCAGUUUAGUGCAAUUUUUUGAUUCUCCAAUACUUUCUAUGCAAAUAAUAUACUCUUCAUUCGUAACGAUAAAGCCAUUAGUUUGCGAGAUAUUUGAAGCCAAAAACGAAGGAGCAAAAUACAUUAAUCAAAAUAAGUGUGCGUUUCAUUUUUAACUUCAAAUAUCUCGAAAACUAAUGACUUUAUCGUUACGAAUGAAGAGUAUAUUAUUUGCAUAGAAAGUAUUGGAGAAUCUAAAAAUUAUACUAAAAUAGCAGUUUCAUCAGUGACGUAGAAUUUGGGAAGGGUCAACCAUUCACUUUCCCCUGUCGUACGCCUCUGGUAGUAGCCAGAAACGAUUAUUUAACAUAAUUUAGUAGGGUGUACAGUAUCUACACUUUCUGCCAAGUAUCAUAAGGAUAUGUCAAAUAGUUUUAUAGUACCAGGCACACAUAGUUCUUAAAGUUUUAAAUAAAGAAUAAAUUAUUAAAAAAAAAGAAUACUUUAAAUUAAUUUGACAUAUCCAUGUCAUACUUGACAGAAAGUGUAGGCGCUGUACAGUACACCCUACUAAAUUAUGUUAAAUAAUCGUUUCUGGCUACUACCAGAGGCGUACGACAGGGGAAAAAGUUUGGUUGACCCUUCUCAAAUUCUACGCCACUGAUGAAACUGCUAUUUUAGCAUAAUUUUUAGAUUUAACAGUACUUUCUAUGCAAAUAAUAUACUCUUCAUUCGUAAGGAUAAAGUUAUUAGUUUUCGAGAUAUUUGAAGUUAAAAAUGAAAAGGUGCAUUUAUUUUGAUUAAUGUAUUAUGCUCCUUCGUUUUUAUCUUCAAAUAUCUCGAAAACUAAUGGCUUUAUCGUUACGAAUAAAGAGUAUGUUAUUUACAUAGAAAGUAUUGGAGAAUCAAAAAUUUGCACUAAAAUAGCAAUUCCGCCAGUGGCAUAGAAUUUGGGAAGGGUCAACCAUUCACGUUCCCCCGUCGUACGCCUCUGGUAGCAGUCAGAAAAGUUUGUUUAACAUAAUUUAGUAGGGUAUACAAUACCAGCAGCACUUACCAAAUUUCGUGUUAUUGUCAAAUGCCUGUCAGGAAAUAUUCAAAAAUAAAUAAAAUAAAAGUUUAACUUUGACAACCUGUAUUUCGGUUAUUAUUAACUUUUGUACUAAGGUAAGUUAGCUUAAAUCUACCUAUUUAACCUCAGGAAUCUAAGGUUAACCUGUGGCCCAUUCUUUACCAAACACCCUGUAUAUAAAAAAUAAUAUAGUCUCAGACCACAGUCUAAGCAAACUAACCACCCACUUAACCCUAAAAACCAACCACUAUGACGUCAUAGGUUCCGAUCUUAACUAACUAAUGCUCUGAGCCGUAGGCGUCGUCUAGUAAUGCAGAUCCACUGGUUUUCUACAUUGGCGCCAGUCGCGUCAGAAUUGGACUUUGAUGGUCUGGCUCCAAGGGGAGCAUACUCUGCAAAGAAGAUAUCCGAGUAAACUCAACGUCUUUAAAAGAUUGGGACUUAUAAUUUAAGAUGAUUAUAACUAUUAAUUUCCAAAAACAGCCAAAAAUGGCUGCAUGCGAAUUGAUUUUUGCAAAUUUAGGUUAGGAUAUCUCAGAAACCUAAGACAGUGGAGAAGCAGACUGACACAAGAAAGGCCUGAAUGGAAGGACAUAGUCAGACAGGCAAAGACCCAUCCAGGGUUAUGGUGCCAAAAGAAGAAGAAUAUCUCCGAAACCAGCGGCAAUUCCACAAUUUUGAGCUCAUAUUCGCAUAAUCUUAUUAUGAUGGGUAAAAUCAAAGGACGCAGAGGAAUUAGUAGAAAACUUCUUCUUGGUUGAAGAAUAGCAUGGAGUGGUCAGGAAUAAAGAAAGCGGAGCAACUGUUUAGGAUAGCUCGAAACAGAGACAGUUUCGCCAUGUUAAUCGUAACCGUCAAGAACUUGAUAGGGCACGUUAAAAAGUAGAUUCGCAUUAAGCGCUCUAAAAACCUCACACGCAAAUUCUGAUCUCUGGGUCCGUAUAUUGGUCAAAUUUUGGCGGCCUGUGUUAUUAGGUUAUAGCUAGAUAUUAUUUUCUGUACAUUCAUUGCUUUUGAUAAGAAUAAUCUAUAAGUUUGGUUUGUUUUUUAUAAAUUUUGGGUGAUUUACCACCGAUUGAUAUUGUUAGGAACAUAGGUAUGAUAGAAAGUGGUUCAUCUUCAAUGAUAUUUAAAAAUCUUGUUGUAGUAUUUGAUUUUUGAAUGUAAAUAUAUUAUUUCUGUUUUUUUGUUAAUAAUUUUGAAAUGUCAUAAGGUUUACCAUAUAUUGGAAACUUCCUUUUGAGUAAGCCUUAAAAGAAUUUUAGAGAAAAAGAAAUGAAAAAAAAUUCAUUUUUUACCUGGUUCCUUUAAAUUUGCCUGAAUGUCAUGCAUAUACUUCAUAGUCUUUUAUAGGUAAACGGUUGAUUCUUUUAUUUUUCAAAUUAUAAUUAUGCAGAUCGGUGAAUAAUGCUAAAAUACUUUUGUUUAUACAUGAUGUUCAAAAACUGAUACAUUAAAGUUAGCAUUUUUCUUAUGGAACACUACUCCCACUAUUUGUGUUUUUAUAUGGAAUACUUUUCACUUUCAUAAACCUUUCCUACACCUAUAUCACAGCAUAAUAAACGAAACCAGCAAGGGCACACUACGAUGCCGCCUUAGAAGUUAAAAAGUACGGAGCCGACAUUGAUCGAGUAGUACAUCUCAGUUUUGAUGUGAUGUGUUCGUUCAUCAGUGUUGCCGAUGUCACUAUAUGAAAUUAUAUUAAGCCACUGUUAAAAUGAUCAGAUUUUGCCAAAAGUUAUGUUAAAAUUUUUGAUCUUGGUAGUUUCUAAGGGUAAUAAAAAUACAUUAAGAAAAAAGUUAUUUUAUUCAACUUAACUUGUUAAUUCAAAAAUAUUGUAACAAAAUUAUAUAUGUAUAAAACUACAUCUGGAACGCUUUCAAAUAAAUUUUCCUCAUCGUCAUCUUGUGAAAAUGAAGACUUUAUGUAAUUAAAAUAAUUUAGGGUGGUUCCAUUUCAAAUCACUCAAUUUUGGAGCAAGAAAAAAUUUAGAUCUUCGAUUUGUCUGAAAAUUGGUAUAUAGCUUCUGCGGGACGUAAAAAUAAGAUAUUUAAGGUCAAAAAAUCUUCUUUUUUUCUCAAAAUGUUAUUUUAUGCGAUUUUACAGUGAUUUGGUGUUUAUUUAAACAAAUUUGCAUUUUCUAUCGUAAGGUAUCAAUGGAAAACAUAAUAUUUUAAUAGAAGGGACUCAUAAUGCCAUAUAAUGAUAUUUUUGAGUCCCUUCUAUUAAAAUAUUAUGUUUUUUUGUAAUAAUAUUACAUAUUUGUAAUAAUGUUUUGUAUAAUAUUAUGUAAAAAACGGUAUUUUAACGUUUCUACACUAUAAAAUUUGGUCAAAUACUUGUUUUGAAUCAAAGUAACUUAUAAUGCCAUAUAAUGACAUUUUUAAGUUACUUUGAUUCAAAACAAGUUUUUGGCCAAAUUUUAUAGUGUAGAAAACGUUAAAAUACCGUUUUUACAUUUUUCUCCAUUCCCAAAAUACUUAAUAAUCGAUUUGGCUAAAAAUUUGCCCACAGAUAGCCAAAACAUAGGACUUUAAGUGGUGAGAAGGAUUUGAAUUAUAUUACAAUACCAAAAAAGUUACAUGCAAUAUCAUAGUCAAAAAUAUAGGCGUCUGCUGUAAGUAAAAUUAACACGAAAAUAUCGACCUCACGACAAAAAUUGUUAAAAAGAAAUUAUAAUAAUUGUAUAUACGAUUUAUUUUGAACAAUUUCAGUUUCUACCAUUUUUGUCGAAAAAUUAAAAAUGGCGGAGAUAUUGAGCAAAACAGGUUCUCCUUUAAAAUCAAGAUGGCGGUUAACGUAAUGGAGGAAUUCAUUCGUGAUUUUAAAUUUAGGCUACUAUUGACUCCCAUAAAGAUAAGAAAGACUCCCCUAAAGAUUAGAAAAAUAAAAUUUUGGGGCGCUCGGCAUGCAAGGUCAAAUGCUCUUCCGAUUGGACUAAUAUACUUUUGAGUCUGAUAUUACUGCAUGUAACUUUUUUGGUAUUGUAAUAUAAUUCAAAUCCUUAUCACCACUUAAAGUCCUAUGUUUUGGCUAUCUGUUGCCAAACAGAUGCAAAUGCAAAUUUUCAUAUAUGCAAAUUUUCAGCCAAAUCGAUGAUGAUGAAUUUUGGGAAUGGAGAAAAAUGUAAAAAACGGUAUUUUAACGUUUUCUACACUAUAAAAUUUGAUCAAAAUCUUGUUUAGAAUAAAAAUAAAUUAAAAUAUUAUGUUUUUCAUUGAUACUUUGCGACAGAAAAUGCAAAUUUGUUUAAAUAAACACCAAAUCACUGUAAAAUCGCAUAAAAUAACAUUUUGAGGAAAAAAGAAGAAGAAGAUUUUUUGACUUUAAAUAUCUUAUUUUUACGUCCCGCAGAAGCUAUAUACUAAUUUUCAGACAAAUCGGAGAUCCAAAAUUUUUUGCCGGAGUGAUUUGACAUGGAAUGUACCGUAACAUUUUUUGUCUGUUUGAAAGGAGUAAUAUUCUUUUACUCCUUCACUUUUGCUAACACUAAUUUAAUAAUUGCUCACAGAUCGCAUUUAAACGUCGACAGACAACGAUAUCUAAGAAAACAUGAUUUUUUUUUAUUUCUGCAUUGCUGCAGUAUCAGUUAUUGCACUAACUUCAUUACCCGUAAGAGACAAUCGCCAUUCAUCGUCAAUAUUUUGUGUUAUGUCCCAAUUAUUGACAUAAUUCUCACAGGCAUACGUAUAAAAUUAUGUUAAACAAUAUUUAUUAUCAGAAUGUCAUAAAAGUUAAGUAAAUCUGAUAAUUAUGUACAAAUCGGCAACACUGUCGAUUUUCUACACUGUCUGGUACUACGCGAAUAAUGGCCGACGAUCUGCGCAGUAAUAGUGCGCGAACUUUUCCCGCCUUCUAGUGUGUCACUGCUGUUGCGUUUUCUAUGCUGUGCCUAUAUCUUAUAAAUGGUUUGUCAGCAAUCAUACACUUUUGGCCAAGAAACGUAUAAGCGCUCAAUGCUCCAUAAGAAGAGAUAGAAGUACAGAGAGAGACAUAUUAAAUUAUAGCAAGUGUAUGAAAAGAAAAGUAGCUCACAUACCUGGUUGUACAGAUAAUUGAGAAUAGCAGCAAGAAGGAGGAAAUCCGAAAACGGAUAAAGUUUGCUAACAAAGCAUACUCCUUUCUCUCUGUCACAGGUGUUUGAAUCCAAAGACAUCCAUAGAGAAGUAAAGUUUAAAAUAUAUAAAACCAUCUUACGACCAAUAGCAACACAUGGCGUAGAAAUAUGGAUUAUGACUGAAAAGACAAUAAACCUUAUUAAUACUUUUAAAAGAAAGAUAUUAAGGAGGAUAUUAGGAACCAUUUGCUACAAUGGUAUAUGGAGAAUAAGGUUCAACCACAAGUUAUACGAAUAUUACAAAGAACCUUAUAUAGCAAAUUAUGCAAAAAUACAAAUAUUGCGCUGGGUAGGUCACUUAUAAGAAUGGAUAACGAACACCUAUUUAGUAGAACGCUUAGAACUAUGGUGGGACUUCGGCCAGUAAGAAGACCAAGAAAGAUGUGGAUAGCUGAAGUGAGACUGAUGCUAAAGAGAUACUUAGGGUGGACAUAGUAGAGAGAGUGCAUAGGUAAAAAGUAUAAGGCCUAUAAUACUUAGCUUAGAGGAUAGGUACUGAACAAGAAGACAGAAGAAAUAAGUUAUUAACGAAAAUGAUGAAAAAAUUGUAUAUGAAGGGCAGUAUCGAAAGCAGAUCUAAAUAUCACAUAAAACAAAAAGUCCUCUACAGAAGAGGUUUUCUCAAAACUCUUUAGUAUUAGAACUGUCGAGCAAGUAGGCACAGGUAUUCCUCUGAAUAUCUUACGAAAAUUUUACAUUUCAACCUCAGCAUUUCCUGGAAGAGUUCCUUAGACAAAUUCGUCACAAACGCCGAACGUCACAUAAUAUAAAAAAUACAGACUAUAACUAGAGAUUCUUCUUCUUCUUAGCCUUCUUCUAUCGUCCAUAAGCAUGUUUGGACAUAGGUAGGCCUCUCUAUACUCUUUCCAUCAUCUCCAUCCUGAGCAACAUAUUUUAAUUUAUUCCUGCUAUUCUUUUGAUAUCACCUACGCAUCUCAUGUGUGGUCUUCCUCUUGGUGGUUUACCUUUUGAAACUCCAUUUGAGUUUUUCAAUUUUUUUUGUUAUAUCCUCAACUUUUGUUUUUGAUCUUACUCUUUUUUUAUCUGACAGUCGUAUACCUAACAUUGCUCUUUCCAUUGCCCUUUCUUUUGUGGCUAGUUUAUUCAUAUUUGCUUUAGGGGCUAGAGAUAACUCCUCUCAAUAAACAAUAAAAAUGGGUUCCAGCUACCUCAAUCGUGGACUCAGUGGCGUACCGAUAGAUCAGCGGGCCAUGGUUCCAGUUGAGAUGCGGGCCCACCCGCUCAAUAAAAACUCACAUUGUAUUACACGAGUAUCGAGCAUCUAGCCUAUUGUAUUGGGAUUAUUUUAUGACCCACCGUAUAAAACUUGCAUUGAAUAUCUCAGUUUCCGAAUUUUUGCAACUUUGUAGUUUACUAACUACUUAUUCAUGGAUCAUGCUUAUAUAGUGUGCUUAUACACUUUACAAGUGUUUGAGUUUGCACGUGUAGGCAGGCACCGGCGGUUAGUCUUUAAACAAGGACUUCGGCAAGCAGGUAAAACGACCCAGGAACCUUACAAAAGCGUUCCCUGUGUUUCUUAAUAAAUUUUGAUUUCAAAUUUUUUGAUAAAUAGUUAAUCUUCGUUUUUAUUAAUAAGUACCUACACAAAAAUUAAAAUUUAUUAAACAGUUACAUUUCGUAGUGUGUACUUGUGUAGUUCAAAAUGUCCCCGUCAAAUUAGAAACAAAAGGAGCAAAAAGCGCAUUAGAGCGGGCACCUGCGGGGCCCAGGCCUUGGUUCCGCGGAACCAUGCUCAGUACACCACUGCGUGGACUAUGGAAACAGUGCUGCAUUCUGAAAUGGCUGAAAAUUUUCGGCUUCUAGUAAUGGCAAUAGCCUACUGCAAUCAAAUAUAUUUAAAUAUUUAUAUAAUACCUUCUUAUUUAAAUGCCUUGUUCGUUCCGAACAUUGGCAAUUAACAUUGCUAUUUUGACUUUGUUUAGGGUAGAUCUGAAUAAUUCGGCCGAUGACAAUCCGAACUAUUGCCGCAAGUUUGGCAGCCACGAACGUCUCCUCCUGCCUGGACCCCUUCUGCUGUCUAUUUCCCCUCUAUAGUACCUUGCUGCACUAGAAGAGAAGAUAAUGUUUAUAAAAUUUGUUUAGUUGGGUUUACAAGUACGGGUUGAUCAAUUGAAUGUAUUAAGAACACGACAGGAUGUUUUAGCUAAAAAUGUAGAAUCUUAAAACAGUAAGCCUGUCGAUGUUACAACGUAGACGGAGUUCGAUAAGAAUGUGAUCUAUACACGAACUUUACAGUGGCAUACUUUUUAGAAGCACUAUACACUUACUAAAAUUUGUUUAUUGUUUUUCAACAAGCCCAUUCAUCUUCGGUAUAUGUUCAUUUGGAUUCAAAUGUAUAUCAAGGAAUCAAGCGUGUCGGUAUAGUAUGUAUACAGCACAACUGAUACAAAAUUUGCUUCGAUUAGGAUCAUCAAUGGAAGCUACAACACCUAGAUCUAGUAAGACAGUGCAUUGGCAAUUUAUAACAAACUGCAUUUGGCAUUGUUAAUCAGUAUAACAGAGAUUCCAAGAACAGUACCUUCAAAAGCAGUAUAUGCCCAACAUCUGAUAAUAUCUAUUAAUUCAUUCAUAGCAUAUAUCGGUUUUAUAAAAAUACACGUUUUUUUGUAAAUGAAUAAGAAAGAUCUCAAAAAUAAGUAAAACAACCAUAGUUUAAGGGGUUAACAAAAGAACAGCCCUAUACAGGGUGUCCCGGAAAAUAGUGCGUUCCUUUAAGGUACGGCUAGAAUACACAAUUUAGAACAAAAAAGUCCUAUAACAUUUUUUUCUAAAAUUAACCGUUUCCAAAAAAAAAAUUACAUUGUUUUUCAUAUACUUGUAUGUUAAUGUUCGGCAAAUUAAAUCACCUGAAAAUAUCGUACACACUACGGAAUAAGGAACUAGUUUGUGAUUUACAGUACAUAUUUAAAAUAAUCCAACCUAUGAUAGUACUUAUGUAUUUACUAUUUGUUUACUAUAAUUAUUUUUCUUGAAAUGUAUUUCAACAUAAAAACACAUCUUUUAACCGAACUAGUAUUAUUUGUAUUUAGUAAGCUUUAAAUGGUUGAAUGCUGAGGGCUUUAACUGAAUUACAUAGUUUACAGUGGAAAUGAAAUACACCACAUUACGUUUAAUAAUUCUAAUUUAUUUUUUACACUAUGCUCGGACUAUCAGUAAGUAAUUUGUUUACAUGUGAACUAAAAUUAAGUUGUACUUACUUGAAAAUAGUUAUUAUAAUAAAUGUUCAAAGUAACAAACUUUCACGAACACAUGCAUUCACUGUGUAUUUAGUGAUCUGCCAUAAAUAAUCAACAUAAUAAGAUAGUACUCAUGAAUUCACGAUUCGAAAAUAUUUUCGGCAUUGACACUAACAGGAUUCUAACACAUUCUUCCAAACUAUCUGUUUACUAAACAUGGGACUGUCUACGUUUAGAUUUUCGUACUUCACAUAGUUGCCAGGUUUUAAUUUGCAUACCAAAAUGUAUUUUAAUGUUUUUACUUCUAGUAAAGUUUUUUGUUCUACAUGGUGCCUUUUACCUAUACCUUUAAGGAACGCACUAUUUUCCGUGACACCCUAUAUAAUAACAAUGUUUAAUAUAAGAAAAAAAUACUAAAAUAUUUUAACAAGAUUCACCGUAUACAUAUUCUCAUUUGGAAAAGAUUAAAUAAAAUAUGCCGAUUACUUAAAUAAGAUCACGAGGUUCUUGGUGAUUCACAUUAUAUAUACAUAGCCUGUGGUGUGUAUGGUCAUAGUGAUCCAGUAUUUGUUAUAUAUGCUACUUGUUAUAUAUGUUCUUGUUAUAUAUGCUACUAUUAAUUAUGUAAAUAUUAAUAAAGUCCGUAAAUGAAAA